rnacentral:rRNA from 1 species
AACGAACGCUGGCGGCAGGCUUAACACAUGCAAGUCGAGCGCCCCGCAAGGGGAGCGGCAGACGGGUGAGUAACGCGUGUGAAUCUACCCAUUUCUACGGAAUAACGCAUGGAAACGUGUGCUAAUACCGUAUACGUCCUUCGGGAGAAAGAUCUAUCGGAGAUGGAUGAUCCCGCGUUGGCUUAGCUAGUUGGUGGGGUUAAGGCCUACCAAGGCGACGAUCCAUAGCUGGUCUGAGAGGAUGAUCAGCCACACUGGGACUGAGACACGGCCCAGACUCCUACGGGGGGCAGCAGUGGGGAAUAUUGGACAAUGGGCGCAAGCCUGAUCCAGCCAUGCCGGGUGAGUGAUGAAGGCCCUAGGGUUGAAAAGCUCUUUCACCGGUGAAGAUAAUGACGGUAACCGGAGAAGAAGCCCCGGCUAACUUCGUGCCAGCCGCCGCGGUAAAAC